rnacentral:rRNA from 1 species
UGGGGAAUCUUGCGCAAUGGUCGAAAGACUGACGCAGCGACGCCGCGUGUGGGAUGACGCCUUUCGGGGUGUAAACCACUGUUGCCCGGGACGAAACGCCUUUUUCGAGAGGCUUGACGGUACCGGGUGAGGAAGCACCGGCUAACUCUGUGCCAGCAGCCGCGGUAAUACAGAGGGUGCGAGCGUUGUCCGGAAUCACUGGGCGUAAAGGGCGCGUAGGCGGCUGGGGAAGUCUAGGGUGAAAGCUCGCGGCUCAACUGCGAGUCGGCCAAGGAUACUCCUCAGCUCGAGUCGACUAGAGGCAGAUGGAAUUCCGGGUGUAGCGGUGGAAUGCGUAGAGAUCCGGAAGAACACCGGUGGCGAAGGCGGUCUGCUGGGGUCGAACUGACGCUGAGGCGCGACAGCGUGGGGAGCAAACAGGAUUAGAUACCCCCGUAGUCC